rnacentral:lncRNA from 1 species
GUGAUUGUGGUUGGUUGCAUCUUCAACUUGGCAAUAAAUUGGCACGACGUUUCAGUCUGCCAUGGUGAUUGCGUCAUGUUUCGGAUCCUCUCAAUUAUCUUCUUUUUUGUAGGGGGAAUCUUCUAAUUUACUCGUUUCGAUCCGCAUCCUCGAGUUUCAUUUCAGGGUUUCCUGGAGUUGGGCUGUGGAUUCUUGCUCCUACUGUGCCAGGGGAGACGUCGGUCGGGCCGGAUUUCGCAUGAUGGGCUGGGCGCUGCAUCCACCUGGCCUACAACGAAAGGAUCAGCGGAUCACCUUCUACAAAGAAAAAAAAACAGCAGGCAGGCAUCGCCGCUCCAAUAAUGUAACCACCUUUUCUCAAAAGGAAAAAAAAAACAUCUGCCAGGUUCCUUGCUACGUCUGGACUGGAUUGAUUGGUUCGUAGUCGUACCAUCAUGGCACCAUGUGCCGUACUGCCAUACAUACAAGUGAUGGACUGUUCGUGGAACCUCAAUGCUCUGUGUAUGAUCUCCAUCUCAUUUCCGCAUGUUACAUGGCUGUAUGAUUGCUUCUACUGGCUGAAGGAAUCUUGCAGAUCGAAAAUUUGGUACUACUGCUAGAUCCUCGUAGCUUAAACUUUUCCCGGUCUCCGAGACACUUGUGAUGCUCAAUGCGGGCUUCUUUGCCAGACAAACCACAGGGGAACCUGCAGCCCCGCUGACUACUAGCUCCAUCCAAC